rnacentral:rRNA from 1 species
UGCCAGCCGCCGCGGUAAUACGGAGGGUGCGAGCGUUGUUCGGAAUUACUGGGCGUAAAGCGCGUGUAGGCGGCUUGCUAAGUCGGGUGUGAAAUCCCGGGGCUCACCCCCGGAAGUGCAUCCGAUACUGGCGAGCUAGAGUACCGGAGAGGUGGGUGGAAUUCCUGGUGUAGCGGUGAAAUGCGUAGAUAUCAGGAGGAACACCGGUGGCGAAGGCGGCCCACUGGACGGAUACUGACGCUGAGACGCGAAAGCGUGGGGAGCAAACAGGAUUAGAUA